AAUCAACGCUGGCGGCGUGCCUAACACAUGCAAGUCGAACGAGAAAGUGGGGCAACUCCAUGAGUAAAGUGGCGACCGGGUGAGUAACACGUGACUAACCUGCCUUCGAGUGGGGAAUAACUUCGGGAAACCGGGGCUAAUACCGCAUAACACCGAGAGGUCAAAGGAGCAAUUCGCUUGAAGAGGGGGUCGCGGCUGAUUAGCUAGUUGGCAGGGUAACGGCCUACCAAGGCAAUGAUCAGUAUCCGGCCUGAGAGGGCGCACGGACACACUGGAACUGAAACACGGUCCAGACUCCUACGGGAGGCAGCAGUGGGGAAUUUUGCACAAUGGGGGAAACCCUGAUGCAGCAACGCCGCGUGGAGGAUGAAGCCCCUUGGGGCGUAAACUCCUUUCGAUCGGGACGAUUAUGACGGUACCGGAUGAAGAAGCACCGGCUAACUCUGUGCCAGCAGCCGCGGUAAUACAGAGGGUGCAAGCGUUGUUCGGAAUUAUUGGGCGUAAAGGGCGCGUAGGCGGUGCGGUAAGUCUUUUGUGAAAACUCCGGGCUCAACUCGGAGCUUGCAGGAGGAACUGCCGUGCUGGAGUAUGGGAGAGGUGAGUGGAAUUCCCGGUGUAGCGGUGAAAUGCGUA
rnacentral:rRNA from 2 species